AUUGAACGCUGGCGGCAGGCCUAACACAUGCAAGUCGGACGGUAGCACAGAGGAGCUUGCUCCUCGGGUGACGAGUGGCGGACGGGUGAGUAAUGUCUGGGGAUCUGCCCGAUAGAGGGGGAUAACCACUGGAAACGGUGGCUAAUACCGCAUAACGUCGCAAGACCAAAGAGGGGGACCUUCGGGCCUCUCACUAUCGGAUGAACCCAGAUGGGAUUAGCUAGUAGGCGGGGUAAUGGCCCACCUAGGCGACGAUCCCUAGCUGGUCUGAGAGGAUGACCAGCCACACUGGAACUGAGACACGGUCCAGACUCCUACGGGAGGCAGCAGUGGGGAAUAUUGCACAAUGGGCGCAAGCCUGAUGCAGCCAUGCCGCGUGUAUGAAGAAGGCCUUCGGGUUGUAAAGUACUUUCAGCGGGGAGGAAGGCGAUGUGGUUAAUAACCUUGUCGAUUGACGUUACCCGCAGAAGAAGCACCGGCUAACUCCGUGCCAGCCGCCGCCGUAA
rnacentral:rRNA from 1 species